UGGGGAAUCUUCCGCAAUGGACGAAAGUCUGACGGAGCAACGCCGCGUGUAUGAUGAAGGUCUUCGGAUUGUAAAGUACUGUCAUUGGGGAAGAACGGUUUUCUUGAAAAGAUUGAGAAGACAUGACGGUACCCAAGGAGGAAGCCCCGGCUAACUACGUGCCAGCAGCCGCGGUAAUACGUAGGGGGCAAGCGUUGUCCGGAAUUAUUGGGCGUAAAGGGCGCGUAGGCGGGCUUUUAAGUCCGGUGUGAAAGAUCAGGGCUCAACCCUGAGAGUGCAUCGGAAACUGGAGGCCUUGAGGACAGGAGAGGAAAGUGGAAUUCCACGUGUAGCGGUGAAAUGCGUAGAUAUGUGGAGGAACACCAGUGGCGAAGGCGACUUUCUGGACUGUAACUGACGCUGAGGCGCGAAAGCGUGGGGAGCAAACAGGAUUAGAUACCCUGGUAGUCCACGCCGUAAACGAUGAGUGCUAGGUGUAGAGGGUAUCGACCCCUUCUGUGCCGCAGUUAACACAAUAAGGCACUCCCGCCUGGGGAGUACGGCCGCAAGGUUUGAAACUCAAAGGAAUUGACGGGGGUCAUAGCUG
rnacentral:rRNA from 1 species